AGUUUGAUCAUGGCUCAGGAUUAACGCUGGCGGUAUGCCUAACACAUGCAAGUCGAACGGAAUACUAAUUAAGAGAAUCUCACACUAGUGAGAGGUUCUCACGAGUAGUAUUUAGUGGCGGACGGGUGAGUAACACGUUGGAACCUGCCCCGAAGUGGGGAAUAACUGCUCGAAAGAGUAGCUAAUACCCCAUAGUAUCCGGUUUAUCCGGAUUAAAGAUUUGUCGCUUCGGGAGGGGCCUGCGUCUGAUUAGCUAGUUGGUGAGGUAAAAGCUCACCAAGGCGACGAUCAGUAGCUGGUUCGAGAGGAUGACCAGCCACACUGGGACUGAGAUACGGCCCAGACUCCUACGGGAGGCAGCAGUGAGGAAUCUUCCACAAUGGGCGCAAGCCUGAUGGAGCAAUACCGCGUGCAGGAAGACGCUUUUCGGAGUGUAAACUGCUUUUGUCGUCGAAGAUUAUGACUGUAGACGAAGAAUAAGGACCGGCUAACUACGUG
rnacentral:rRNA from 1 species